rfam:Picea glauca, whole genome shotgun sequence.
ACAUGCCUACAACACAGCGUUAAUGCAUCUGAUCCCAUUAGAACUUCGCAGUUAAGCAUGCUCAGGCUAGAGUAGUACUGAGAUUGGUGACCGCUCGAGAAGUCAUAGUAUGUGGCAUUUU